ACAACCACUAGACCACAUGUCAUUCACUUAUUGGAUAAUUCAACACUGCAGAAGUUGAGUGUUGACUAGCAACAUAGUAACAAUGAGGUGAAACAAGAGCCUAAAAGAAAUAGAGAACAAAAACAACAACAGUGGCGAGUCGGAGCUGCGGGUGGUGGUUGUCGUCUUCCUCUUGAAGGGCAGAUUGAUCCUCCUCGGUCGUUGCCGCUCCACUGUCGGCAACGCCACCUUCACCUUUCUAGGCGGCCACCUCGAAUUCGGAGAGUUUUGAGGAAUGCGCUGCAAGAGAAGUGAAAGAGGAAACAUAGUUGGACAUAGGAAACUCAGAUUUUGACAGUAACAAACUAUGUUAGAGCAGCCAAAAAAGUGUCACUAUGUGACCAUUUUCAUGAGGGCAAUGGUGGAUGUGGAUGUAGUUAAAGAACAAGUUCCACAAAAUCUUGAACCUACCAAGUGUGAUGGUUGGGAUUGGUACGAGUGGGAUCAUUUGUCACACCCUCUGUUUGGGCCUCUUGAGAAAAUGGUCAAAGGAGCUUUCGACCCAUUUCCAAUUUGAUUUUGGUAAUUGGUAUGAUUUUGUUUUGUGAGGAUUCUUGGAUUCUUGGAAAUUUUUUGUUUAGUUUAACAUAUUGUGAUGAAAACAAUUAUGGUUUGAAUGACAUUCAGGAUGCACGUAAAUUUGUAAAACGUCUAAUUCAGAAGCAACAUUGAUAGUGUUUGAAUUAGGGUCCA